ACGCACGCUGGCGGCGUGCUUAACACAUGCAAGUCGAACGGAAAGGCCCUGCUUUUGUGGGGUGCUCGAGUGGCGAACGGGUGAGUAACACGUGAGUAACCUGCCCUUGACUUUGGGAUAACUUCAGGAAACUGGGGCUAAUACCGGAUAGGAGCUCCUGCUGCAUGGUGGGGGUUGGAAAGUUUGGGCGGUUGGGGAUGGACUCGCGGCUUAUCAGCUUGUUGGUGGGGUAGUGGCUUACCAAGGCUUUGACGGGUAGCCGGCCUGAGAGGGUGACCGGCCACAUUGGGACUGAGAUACGGCCCAGACUCCUACGGGAGGCAGCAGUGGGGAAUAUUGCACAAUGGGCGGAAGCCUGAUGCAGCAACGCCGCGUGCGGGAUGACGGCCUUCGGGUUGUAAACCGCUUUCGCCUGUGACGAAGCGUGAGUGACGGUAAUGGGUAAAGAAGCACCGGCUAACUACGUG
rnacentral:rRNA from 1 species